CCGGAUAUUCAAGUCGGUAUUGGCAAUGAUAGCAGCGAUACGCUGAAAGCUUCAACCGAAGAGAUUGCGGAAGGAGGUGAUCUUUCAGGAGAACCGAAGACUUCGGUUGAACGUUCGGCUGAUCCAACAGAGGAAAAGGGUCUUGCACCGGAUAUUCAAGUUGAUAUUGGCAAUGAGAGCGGUGAUACGAUGGAAGCUUCAACCGAAGAGAUUGCAGAAGGAGGUGAUCUUUCAGGAGAACCAAAUACUUCGGUUGAACGUUCGGCUGAUCAAACAAGGAAACAUAUCGUGGAAGAGCAAAAAUGUUCUGAUGAUUCAAAUAAUUCCGAGGUUCGAAAUAAACGAAUUCUGAUUCAGCCAUUUUUUUUUUUUUUAAAUGUAUCAUACAAGUGAUUGAAUAAUGUUUUUUUUUUUUAUAUUUUUUGAGUAGAUGAUCGCACAAGUGCUAGCAAAUAUAGCAGAAUCAGAAAUGACUAACGAACAAGUUCAUUAGGAAAAAAUCGAGGAAAACACCAGCUCAACUGUCUUAGAGGAACCCCAGGCAGCAGUUUGUAACGCGCAUCCGUUGUCUCAGUGGUUGUUUCCUUAUGAGUAUUUACCAAGCCAAACCCCAGGAAAAGAAAUCAUGUUACAUCCAUCAGUCACACGAGCUACACGCCCCAGUAAAUACAAGUCUUCACCGUUUGUGACAGAUUUUGGUAUAUAUCUGAUUUUUAAUUUACUUGUUUAUUUUUUUAAUACGCAACUGCUAAUGUUUAAAGACCAAAUACACAAGUAGUAGUUCGGGAAAGGAUCAUGUUCAUGUAUUUGACAAAAAAUAUCCAUUCCAGCAAGAUCCCAUUACUGGUCCACUUGAUGUACAGAUUGUGGAUGAAUACCGUAUUUGGCUUCGAAACGGUCUGCUUGUGAGGCACGAUAGCAAAAAGAACUACGAAGACCAUUACAAAAAAAAAAUUCAAAAAAAUGGCAGUUUUUGACAAUGGAGUCAAAUUCAAUUUUGGCAUCACAAUUGUCAAUGAUAAGAACUGGUUUUACCUGUUAUCGAUGGAUGGUCAGCUUUGGAAUGACGAGCACAUUGACGUCAUUUUCUAUUACUUUCGGAUGAAAGGAAAGUAUGAUAAAAGGAACAAUUUCAGCUUCACCACUGUUGACUGCCUAUUCAAGUAGAGAAUUGAUGUGGUCCACCACGCAUAUCACAAUGUUGAAACCCAGACAAAUGUUGCAAAUGAAGAGCAAGUAUUUAUUGAGUAUGUUAAGGGCCACAGGCUUAUUGCCAAUGUCCCGUGGCAUACGGUUGACAACGUGCUAAUACCGGUGAAUAUACAAGAAGAAAAUCAUUGGUUAUUGGAACUCCUUUCAUUCAAGGACAGCAUAUGCAGAUAAGGGACAGAUCGAUAUCCUUGAAGUUGUCUAUGUUGAUAAUCUGCCGCAUCAAACUGCUGGUAGCACGGACUGUGAUGUCUUCGUGGCAGCGUAUGCUGAGUAUUUGACAUCGGGUGAAAGGAUUCCAGAUGUCAUUGAUGCACACAUGCAGCGUAUGAGAUACGAUGCACUCUUAUGGGACUACGCUGAAGGCAAGGUUGCUGACAAAGCAGAGAGUGAUAAUGAAGUUCCACCAAGACCGAUUAGGCCAGCAAUCGAUUACGACACUGUAGAUGCAAUUGAGGUUUGAUAAAUACUAUUCGUGCAUUCCAUGUUUUUUGUCCUUUUUUUCAUUACAGCAAACAAUCUGAUGUUUUUAGAUGUAUUUUGACUUAUGUUGGAUAAUUAUCAUUUAACCAAAGAAAUCUCAGGGGUUUUAUGUUCCAUAUGUUUGAUGUACUUAGUUCCAUAUAUUGUCAAAUAAAUCUGAAGUUUUGAAAAAAUACAGUAAAAUGUGACAUCAUGGAUCCACAAAUAUAUUUAUUCACCAGGUUCACAAAAUAUGUAUGUUUAAUUCACCAGGUUCACAAAAUACGUAUGUUUUAGUAAAGUUUAUUCAUUUUUGUUUUAGUUUAGUAAACACAUCUUGCGUAUUUUACAUGACCAGCACAACUAUAUGAUUUCAAUAAAAAAAAAUUACAAAAAAUAAACCAUCUUCAUCAGUUUCGAAAACAAUACGUACGUUUUUAUACCACAUAUGCUUUGUUAUGAGGUUGAAUAGACAACACCAUUUUCUAACCGGAACAUGGGUUG